AACAUCGCCUCUUGCAAGAAUAAGAGGUCCAGCCUGCCCAGUGACCAUGUGUUCAACGGCCGCAGUAUUUUGACUGUGCGAAGGUAGCGUAAUCACUUGUCUUUUAAAUGGAGACCUGUAUGAAAGGUUAAACGAGGGCUCAACUGUCUCCUUUUUCCAGUCAGUGAAAUUGAUCUCCCCGUGCAGAAGCGGGGAUAUAAACAUAAGACGAGAAGACCCUAUGGAGCUUUAGACGCUAGAGCAGACCAUGUUAAAGACCCCAAAAUAAAGGACUAAACUGAUUGAAUCCUGCUCCCCUGUCUUCGGUUGGGGCGACCGUGAGGAAAUAAAAAACCCUUCACGUGGAAUGGGAGCACUCCCACAACUAAGAGCCACAGUUCUAGGUAACAGAAUAUUUGACCAAUAGAGAUCCGGCAAAGCCGAUUUACGGACCAAGUUACCCUAGGGAUAACAGCGCAAUCCCCUUUUAGAGCCCAUAUCGACAAGGGGGCUUACGACCUCGAUGUUGGAUCGGGACAUCCUAACGGCGCAA
rnacentral:rRNA from 1 species